UACGUAGGGUGCGAGCGUGGUCCGGAUUUAUUGGGCGUAAAGAGCUCGUAGGCGGUUUGUCGCGUCGGCCGUGAAAUCUCCACGCUUAACGUGGAGCGUGCGGUCGAUACGGGCAGACUUGAGUUCGGUAGGGGAGACUGGAAUUCCUGGUGUAGCGGUGAAAUGCGCAGAUAUCAGGAGGAACACCGGUGGCGAAGGCGGGUCUCUGGGCCGAUACUGACGCUGAGGAGCGAAAGCGUGGGGAGCGAACAGG
rnacentral:rRNA from 1 species